rnacentral:tRNA from 1 species
GCCGGAGUGUCGGAAUCGGCAGACGAGCCGCACUCAAAAUGCGGUGGGGGUGACUCCGUGUGGGUUCGAGUCCCACCUCCGGCACCA